rnacentral:misc_RNA from 1 species
UCCGAAGCUGAGCGUUCACCAACGAACCCCAGCGCAAAGCAGACGCAGAUCGAGCAUAGAACCGGCACUCGGCGACCACGGGCGAAUGGAACCGAGAUCUCGCAAUGCGGGGGGAAGAGCUCACCUCCGAACUCGUCGCCCGGAUCCGGGCCCUCCUUGCCGCCACCCCGCCCCGCGAAGGGCGGGAGCCAGAAGAGCGCCGACAGCAGCACGGCCACCCCGAGCACGAGUGCCGCAACGCAUUGCAGCCGAAUCACCCUCGCCGCUCCUCCUCCUCUUCCGCACCAGCAGCAGAAGCGGCCGCCCCUGCUUCCUCCUGCGCCUCCGCCUGCGCCGCCGCCCGCCCCGUCCGGCGGCUGCUGCGCCUCGCCGGCGUCUUUCCCCAUCCGGCGCCGCGAUCUCACGCAUCCCGGCCGGCCGCCGCCGACGAGCGAGAGGUGAGGGGGCGCCCCGCCAUUGCGCCGCUGAGUGGGUACGCGUGCGUGCGGUCGGCCCAGCUGCUCGUCUCUCUCUGUCUAGGGUUAGGGUCGCGGGUCGCUCGCCGCGUCGUUUGCUUAAGGACGAGGCGAUGGUUAAGGACGAGGCGAU